rnacentral:rRNA from 1 species
AUGGCCUCGAUCCCGCUCGGCACCUUAUGGUCACCCCCCGCCGCCGUCGCCGUGGCCGCCACAUCCCGUAUUGCGCGGCCGGUUCAUAUCCAGCUGCUGGACCGGCGAGGACCCUCGUCGGCGCGGGUCAAGAUUCAUGCCCGCACGCGUGACGCGUUUCGCUCACACUGUGACAAGCGUGCCGAUCACCUCCCCGAGCCAGAGCCAGAGCCAGAGUCAGAGCCAGAAAACGACGAUCCAAACAACGCUGCACCCUCAGAGAAUGUUCCCUUGGUAGAGGAGCUACUCAAGCGCUAUAACGCGAUUAAAGCUGAGAUGGGUGUGCGGGAGCCCCCUGAUAUAUUCCUUAAAGAGAAGGGCCGAAUUUCUAAGUACAAUAUGAAGUUGUCUUCUUCAGAUAGCAAUCUGAAUGUAGACGAAAAGGUACAAGCACAAUUAGUUUACGAAAGUGCACAAAAAGCUCUGGAUUUGGCUUCCACGGUCAUGGAUAUUGCGAGCUUAGGGUGUGGCAUGGUAGAAAUAUCUAAACAUACAGUAGACCAGAUGGUUAGGACAUAUGCGACUAUAUUUUGUAAUGUUGCUGAGGCUGCAUACCAUCAGAAGAUUGAGAUGGAAACCACUCUCUCGUUUCUUGGUGCCCUUAGAGGCUUAGGGGCAAUUGGUCAUAUCAUGGUUCAAGAUACAAUGGCUAAGCUCAAAGAUGGUCAUUUUAAAAACACUAUCAUAUCUUACAUGGAUAAACAUUCCGAAAAGUUUGUCAAGAUGAUGAAGAACUCGGAAGAUGAAACUGUGGAGAGCAAGUCAUGGCAGGCAGUGACAGGUAUACUAUUAUCUUGUCAGAUCGAUACGGAAGUGUAUAUUUUAAAGCUUAGCAAAUGUCACAGGGCUGCACUGGACUACCUUGCACGGAAGGAAUAA